rnacentral:ncRNA from 1 species
CGAACAUCUCUCUUACUUCGGAUCGUCCGGCACGUUCCUGCCGGUGAGAGGAACCACCUU